rnacentral:rRNA from 1 species
CUGAUGCGUUGUUGGGUAGGGGAGCGUUCUGUAAGCCUGCGAAGGUGUGCUGUGAGGCAUGCUGGAGGUAUCAGAAGUGCGAAUGCUGACAUAAGUAACGAUAAAGCGGGUGAAAAGCCCGCUCGCCGGAAGACCAAGGGUUCCUGUCCAACGUUAAUCGGGGCAGGGUGAGUCGACCCCUAAGGCGAGGCCGAAAGGCGUAGUCGAUGGGAAACAGGUUAAUAUUCCUGUACUUGGUGUUACUGCGAAGGGGGGACGGAGAAGGCUAUGUUGGCCGGGCGACGGUUGUCCCGGUUUAAGCGUGUAGGCUGGUUUUCCAGGCAAAUCCGGAAAAUCAAGGCUGAGGCGUGAUGACGAGGCACUACGGUGCUGAAGCAACAAAUGCCCUGCUUCCAGGAAAAGCCUCUAAGCAUCAGGUAACAUCAAAUCGUACCCCAAACCGACACAGGUGGUCAGGUAGAGAAUACCAAGGCGCUUGAGAGAACUCGGGUGAAGGAACUAGGCAAAAUGGUGCCGUAACUUCGGGAGAAGGCACGCUGAUAUGUAGGUGAAGCGACUUGCUCGUGGAGCUGAAAUCAGUCGAAGAUACCAGCUGGCUGCAACUGUUUAUUAAAAACACAGCACUGUGCAAACACGAAAGUGGAC